GUAAAGAAGAGAGAGAGAGAGAAAGAAGAAAGGAAAAGGAAGAGGAAGAAGAAAGAAGAAGAGAAUCGAUCAUAGAGCUUCACCAGAGCUGGGUCUUAGCAUUUUGAGGUCAGAAUGAUGAUUAGCUCGUCGGGAUCUUCGAUUUGAGAUAGGAUUUAGAAGGAGUGUUGGUGAAGAUCUAGAGUUUUUGAGAGUUCUUGAGCUAAAGAAGUGAAAUUGGGAUUUCAUUGGUGUCCUUGAAAAAAGAGGUUAUACUCGUUAUACGCAUAUCCACACAUCGGAUCUCCUACAUACCGGGUGUAAGCACCGCGUACUUAUACAAGUGAUUUAGCAGGUUACCCGCUUGAAGAUCAGGAGCUGGGUCCCAUUGUGGAGUUUCACUUCGAGGACUAGUGGGUCCCUGAUGAGUUCGAGCACGGUGCUGAUUGCACGUUAGCAGGCCAAGGUUGUUCCUAAACUGAGGCCUCAGACAUUAGACUUUUUGUUUGCAAACAUGAAGGAACAGAGGAUGAAGACAUCAUCUCAUCAGAUGAGAAGGGGUCGAUUUUAGCAACACCAGCGGAAAAGGGAUCAAUUUAACAGUUAUUCCAACUAACUAGACCUAUGUUGAUCAUUGUGCAAGGAGAUGUGAGAUCAUAUGGGUGUUAAAAACUGUACCCCACCCAACCAUGUGGUGCAAAGUAGUGGAUUUAUCUCUAGCACCCAAGUUUGUGAUUAUCAGCAGGAAACAGUCCAUUCUUUGUUUUGCUUCCUUCAGUACUUUCUCUUCAUUAACCUGACUAUCUCCAAUAUAAAAACUUGUAGAUAUCUUCUUUCAAUUUUUUGAUUUGAGAUUUGGAUUAGUUUGUUUCUGGAAACAUUAGUUUGUUGUUUGAGCAGUGUAAAGUUAUGAUCUAGGUUGCUGACCUAGAUUGUGAUGGGUCCAAGGAGGCUAAACCCAAGUCCUCCAAAACUGUUUCAAGUGUAUUAUGUUCAAUUUGGAACAGGGAAGGGUUGCUAAGUUUCUUCAAAGGAUUACAUGCUCAAAUUCUGAAAACUGUGCUAAGCUCAACUUUGCUUCUCAUGAUUAAGGAGAAAAUCACGAGGACCAUAUAGGUCUUGAUGCUUGGACGCAAGAGGUAUCUGUUGUUCGUGCCACCUAAAUUAAAGAAUGCAUAACGACAACGAAGAUAAUGUACGCAUGGAUCUUUGUAAAUAAAUGUGGCAUGAAUUGGUUUCUAUCCAACCUUGAGAAUUUUGUCCCAGCAAUGGUUACUAUAUUUGGUGUAAAAGAAAUAUUUUUAUGAAAUUUGAAGCAUUUUAAAA